GAGUUUGAUCGUGGCUCAGAGUGAACGCUGGCGGUAGGCCUAACACAUGCAAGUCGAACGGCAGCACAGAGGAGCUUGCUCCUUGGGUGGCGAGUGGCGGACGGGUGAGGAAUACAUCGGAAUCUACUCUGUCGUGGGGGAUAACGUAGGGAAACUUACGCUAAUACCGCAUACGACCUACGGGUGAAAGCAGGGGAUCUUCGGACCUUGCGCGAUUGAAUGAGCCGAUGUCGGAUUAGCUAGUUGGCGGGUAAAGGCCCACCAAGGCGACGAUCCGUAGCUGGUCUGAGAGGAUGAUCAGCCACACUGGAACUGAGACACGGUCCAGACUCCUACGGGAGGCAGCAGUGGGGAAUAUUGGACAAUGGGCGCAAAGCCUGAUCCAGCCAUACCGCGUGGUGAAGAA
rnacentral:rRNA from 1 species